rnacentral:rRNA from 1 species
AUACGUAGGGGGCGAGCGUUGUCCGGAAUGAUUGGGCGUAAAGGGCGCGUAGGCGGCCCGGUAAGUCUGGAGUGAAAGUCCUGCUUUUAAGGUGGGAAUUGCUUUGGAUACUGUCGGGCUUGAGUGCAGGAGAGGGAAGUGGAAUUCCCAGUGUAGCGGUGAAAUGCGUAGAGAUUGGGAGGAACACCAGUGGCGAAGGCGACUUACUGGACUGUAACUGACGCUGAGGCGCGAAAGUGUGGGGAGCAAACAGGAUUAGAUACCCUGGUAGUCCACACUGUAAACGAUGAAUGCUAGGUGUAGGGGGUAUCGACCCCUUCUGUGCCGCAGUUAACACAAUAAGCAUUCCGCCUGGGGAGUACGGCCGCAAGGUUGAAACUCAAAGGAAUUGACGGGG